AUUGAACGCUGGCGGCAGGCCUAAAACAUGAAAGUCGAGCGAGCGGCGGACGGGUGAGUAAUGUCUGGGAAAAUGCCUGAUGGAGGGGGAUAACUACUGGAAACGGUAGAGAAUAACGCAGACCAUCAUAUGUGCCCAGAUGGGAUUAGCUAGUAGGUGGGGUAACGGCACACCGAGGCGACGAUCCCUAGCUGGUCUGAGAGGAUGACCAGCCACACGGGAACUGAGACACGGUCCAGACUCCUACGGGAGGCAGCAGUGGGGAAUAUUGCACAAUGGGCGCAAGCCUGAUGCAGCCAUGCCGCGUGUGUGAAGAAGGCCUUCGGGUUGUAAAGCACUUUCAGCGGGGAGGCGUUACCCGCAGAAGAAGCACCGGCUAACUCCGUGCCAGCAGCCGCGGUAAUAC
rnacentral:rRNA from 1 species